AAGUCGUAACAAGGUUUCCGUAGGUGAACCUGCGGAAGGAUCAUUCUAGAGUAUGGAUGGCGUAAGCCUAUUCAUUAUAUUUUCGUGAACUAUUGAAAAUUAUUGAUUGGUGCCGUUUGUACUUUAUGGAGUUAAAUAUGUAAAGGAGGAUUAAUCGAGUUGCCUGAGGCACAAAGCCCAAUCAAAAGUGGUUCAAUUUAUUAUCUGUUAAAAGCGAACGACUGUAAUUCUUAACAGCGACAUAAUUAACCAUAGAUUGAAUAAUAUUUUCAGCUGAUUAUUGCUAUAAAUCUAUAUGUCUUGAAAACUUUUGUUAAAAACAAAACUUUUAGCAACGGAUCUCUAGGCUCUCAUUUCGAUGAAGAACGCAGC
rnacentral:misc_RNA from 1 species